GUCUACAUCCAUGCCACCCUGAACAAGCCUGAUCCCGUCUGAUCUCAGAAGUUAAGCAGGGUCGGGCCUAGUUAGUACUCGGAUGGGAGACCACCUAGGAAGACCAGGUGCUGUAGGCU
rnacentral:rRNA from 1 species